CUCUGCCACGCACCCUCUCCCCUCGCAUUCAUCCCCCAGAUCCACCAGUCUGCUUCUCGGCCAUGGCAUCACGGCCGGUUUUCUCGCCGGCGCGCGCGUGCGUGCUUCGAUGCGCGCCGCUCCGUCGAGCUGGCCGGACCGUGGCGCGCGUGUGGACCGUGUAUCCGCUACCAAAUCUCCCCUCCGCUCCCGAAUCUAAUCCCCCAAAUCUCUCCUCAGCUCCCGAAUCAAAUUCCCAUCACCUCCGCCACCACCCCACCUACUCCCACAGCCGUCGCGAGCCACGAGCGCGAGCGGGGCGAUGGCCAAUCCUCUGCUUCUCCUCCAUUCAUCGUGCACGCCCUGGGACGAUGCCGACCGACAGAUCUAGGGCGACGACGAACCCUAGCCGCAACGGCUUGUUGGUGCGGCUGCGACGCAUUUGAUACUCGCCCCGAGCUCCCUCCUCCUCCGUUGUUGUGGCCGCCUUGGGACGAUAUUCGCCGCAUGUGACUGCUGUGUUGGGAACCGGUCCGGCCAAGGGGAAGCCGGGUUCCCAGCCAACGCAGCGUCCGGCGAAGGGGCUCUUCCUGCGGCCCGAUUGCGCUCACAACGUCCCCGUCACCAAGUUCAAUCAAAAGACUGGCAAGCCUCUCAAGUGUAAAGAAAAUGGCACGCUCUCAAGUCUAAGAUUGAUACAGAGCGGUGUAUGCAUGUGCCAAACUGAAACCAUAUGUGUUACGUAGUAGUUGUUCAUCUCUGACACGAGCUGCCCUGCAAUCAAAAUAGGUUGCAUCUAUUCUUGCUAGUAUUUUAUUUAUCUCCUUCCUCAUCUGUGACACCAGCUGUUGUGCAUGGAAUCAGGGAAUUCUUGCUCCGCUCGGAAGGAGUUAUCAUUGCCGUGGGAGUCUCUGACCUCUUCUUCUACUACCUAUUGCUGCUGCUGCUGGGUGUCUGUAGCUACAGGAUGUCCAUGGAGAAGAUGGCCAUUGGACUAUAGGGGAGCGAGAGGGCUGUCACCAAGAAGGAAGGCAUUGACUUUGCCAAGGAGUAUGGAUGUCUAUCUGGAAUGCAGCGCAAAGACCAAAGCGAAUGUUUAGUAGUGGUUUGAAGAGGAAUCAAUGAUGCCGACCUCCUUGCAGAGUUGUGCCAGGUACCAAAUGAUGACCUACUUGCACAGUUGUGAUAGGUGUCGUGCGUCUUGUGUUACUACAUACAUCUGUCGUGAAGUACAUGGUUCCAGAACUAUGGUAACCCGUAGUUUUCUCUACUGGUGAUAGUAGGAUGAUGGAAACAUCACUACUGAAUGCAGUUCCUGUUUCUUCAACUAAUCAUCAUAUCCUUCGGUGGAGGUGACCCAUGUGAUGGUGAUUCGCUCCAGCAGUUCCGGUCUGGCAGUGGUGGUGCUACACUGCUACUGCUCCUAUGAUGGCUACGCAUUGGUAGGCUCGGCUGCCUCCCUUUGCUGUCGCUGUGAUGGUGAAGCUCAGCCUAGGCUACAACCACUUCCGAUGAGCUCCUCAGAUCAGGAUCUAAUGUUGUUGGGGUGGCUGCUAUUGUGACCAUGAUCAGAAGAAGCUUGGAGAUGUGCACAAUAGUUUUAGUUGAUGUUGCCACCAUGUUUUGGUGCAUGUGUAUUUCUUUUUGAUUGUAUGCAAACUUGAUGGAUCAUGCAGACGUGUAUGUGCUGUUGUGAGUUUCAUUGAGUGAUUUCUGGAUUUGAUCAUUUAAUUGAGAGAACUAUUGAUUGUUUGUUGUUGAAAUGUGUAAAGGAAAUCUGUGAAUGAAAAGGCUGAA